UACGGGGGGGGCAAGCGUUGUUCGGAAUUACUGGGCGUAAAGGGCUUGUAGGUGGCCAACUAAGUCAGACGUGAAAUCCCUCGGCUUAACCGGGGAACUGCGUCUGAUACUGGAUGGCUAGAGUAUGGGAGAGGGUAGUGGAAUUCCCGGUGUAGCGGUGAAAUGCGUAGAUAUCGGGAGGAACAUCAGUGGCGAAGGCGGCUACCUGGCCCCAAUACUG
rnacentral:rRNA from 1 species